UUCUGCAUGUGUGUUAUGUGAUUCUGUGGAGAAGGGAGGAGGUGAUGUCUGAAGGUGUGGGCUGCGGAAGAGGUGGAUGGUGCUGAAGCCAGUGAAAAGCUCACAGAAACAGCAGCCUCUCCUGGGAAGAUACCUCCUCAUGGACGAGUGAUAAGCCUUUCCCCCAGAGUGCAGGAGCUAGGCUGCAGAGAACAAGGCACAGCACGCUCUCCUGGCUGCUCCAGCUUGUGGCAGCCCUCACUGAACCCACUGCGAUGGGAAUCGUUGUACAAGGUGCCCAUCCCUCACUUCAAGCCUGCGUUCCUCCUCCCCACCACUCCCGGCUUCCAUCAGCAUCCUACAGUGCUGUCCUUCCCUUUUGGCCUACUGGCAAGGAACAAGGAAGAAGGAACAAGUCCAUCCUGGCAUAUAACCACCGUGCAGAGCAGCUGCCAUCCCCAGCCCCAGCACCCUGCAGACAGACCUUCCUUGGAGCCGUGCAUGGUGUGUAUUUGGUUGCGGAGUUCCUCCUAGAAAUGCAUCGGUUUGGAGAUUCCUACAGCCACGUGGGACCUGAUUGGAUAAUGAAAAUCUCAUCUGCAGCACUCACUGGCAAGCCUGGGAAGGAUCAAUUAUUAGCAGUAUCAGCUUUCCUCCCCGUGUCGUCAGCAGAGCCCUCCUUCGGCAUCACUCCGCAUGGGGACGGAUCCUUUCCCUGCUGUCCCUGGAUGACACCAGGAGUAACCGCACUGAAAUCAAAGCUGUUGCUCCAGACGAAGUGAGAACAAGCCCAAGGAGAAUCAGGCCCUGUUGCCUCCACUGCAACGCCGAGUCCCUAAAGCGAUUGUACGGCGCGAUGGUAAACAUUAUGGGAAGAUAUGGAGUGGGAUGAAUUAAAAGCGCCUGGCUGGAUCUACGGAGGGUUUGAUUUCACCCAGGAGGAAUGAACGAACGCAGAUCACUCCGAGUUUUCAAUGUCCAAGGCGUAAUCUAAUUUCUCAAUGUAGUCAACCAGUUGAAAUUUGCAAAAUAUGGACUCUACUGGGAAUCUGGCGGAGCUUGUCUGAUUAGCGUGUGCAACUGUUCAGUGGCAGGUUUUUGUGAGCGUGUAGUCUCUGCUUCAAACAGAAUCAUCACCAGCUGGUUAUUUUUUACUGUUAUUAGGUUAGAAAAUAUCACUGAGGUAUACAACAGUAAUCAUGAAGCUGUGAUGCCAGGAAAAAAAUAAUCACGUUAAAUUGACCUUCAUGAAUAAAGAGUGAGGUUCCA
rnacentral:lncRNA from 1 species